rnacentral:rRNA from 1 species
AUAAACCCGGGAAACUGGGUAUAAUACCCGAUAGAUCUCGGCUGCUGGAAUGCAUCGAGCUCUAAAGCUCCGGCGCCGAGGAUGGGUCUGCGGCCUAUCAGGUAGUAGUGGGUGUAGCGUACCUACUAACCUACGACGGGUACGGGUUGUGAGAGCAAGAGCCCGGAGAUGGAUUCUGAGACACGAAUCCAGGCCCUACGGGGUGCAGCAGGCGCGAAAACUUUACAAUGCCGGCAACGGCGAUAAGGGGACCUCGAGUGCCAGGUUACAAAUCUGGCUGUCGUGAUGCCUAAAAAGCAUUGCAUAGCAAGGGCCGGGCAAGACCGGUGCCAGCCGCCGCGGUAACACCGGCGGCUCGAGUGGUAACCGUUAUUAUUGGGUCUAAAGGGUCUGUAGCCGGCCGGAUAAGUCUCUUGGGAAAUCCAGCAGCUUAACUGUUGGGCUUUCAGGAGAUACUGUCUGGCUCGAGGCCGGGAGAGGUGAGAGGUACUUCAGGGGUAGGGGUGAAAUCUUGUAAUCCUUGAAGGACCACCAGUGGCGAAGGCGUCUCACCAGAACGGACCUGACGGCAAGGGACGAAAGCUAGGGGCACGAACCGGAUUAGAUACCCGGGUAGUCCUAGCCGUAAACGAUACUCGCUAGGUGUCGGCCACGGUGCGACCGUUGUCGGUGCCGUAGGGAAGCCGUGAAGCGAGCCACCUGGGAAGU